rnacentral:lncRNA from 1 species
AAGCGCUCUUUGAGAGUUGUUUGCUUACUGGUGGAGGUGAUGUACCGUACUUGAGUAUCCAUGACAACACUGCGACACACCAGAGAGGGUGCCUCUUCUGUGGAAUUGGCAGGAUUGAAAAUGCUUUCUUCCUACUGCCACAACUUACAUCACAGUUCAUGUAAGCACUUGGGUGUGCUCGCUCUUUUGAAUGUCCAGUUCUCCACUACCUCUUAAGGCUUUGGUGCUGGGACUCCAUGAAAUUCAUCUUCAGAUCAACAAUCAAUAGCACAAUAAUUGGAACUUCAAAAUGCAUUAAAUGAAUGAGUAUUAACCCAA